GCCGGCAUAGCUCAGUCGGUUAGAGCGUGUGUCUAAUAAGCCCAAACGUGCGAAUCCUACUGGCGGCA
rnacentral:tRNA from 1 species